GGCGAUUAGCUCAGUUGGUUAGAGCGCCACCUUUACACGGUGGAUGUCGGGGGU
rnacentral:tRNA from 1 species